GUGGCGUGGAGGCGUGGCCACGCCUCCCAUGCAGCCUGGCUGCAUGGUGGCAAGGCCCAGGCAGUCAGGCCGGGACAGCAAGGGCCAGACCGCGGUUGGAAGGCCUGUCCCGAAGGACUUGCCAGAUAUAGCAGUGAAGUCAUCCCAAUUCAAAGAAGGCAUGGCAUUAAGCUCAUAACAUCUGGCACAGGAAUACACGAUAGCAAAUAUUUGUCAGUCUCAAACGAAGAGUGAUGAUCCCCUUGAGAGUUGGAAUGAUGUUGCUGCCUCAGUGGGGUGAUUGAAGUCCUUGCUUGGACAAACUGGAGAUCGUAACUCUUUGGGAACAAGCUUCCUUCUUGGAGAACAUGGUAUUGUUGGACAAGUGGUGGGAACACAAAACAACUCUAUCCCAUUGGCCAGUAGCAAGUCUGUAACUGGAUACUGUCAUGUGCCCAGGAAAGAAGAAGCAGUGUUUCAAAGAAAGUUACAGGAGUUUUCUUCUAUUCACAAGAGGCUCUGCAGAUAAUCUAGAAAUCUGGUAGUUUCAAGACUGAACAGGACUGAAUCUUAGUUCCUCCAGAAGUCCCUCUCUCCAUCUGUCCCAUCCAGCAGGCUGACAACAUGUUUCAUGAAGCUCUAAUUAGAGAUAUUGUUCUUGCCACAAGUAUAUACAUUGUCAGAAACAAUCUGUACCCUGACGUGGCCUGAAUCCAGGAGGGAAAAGACUUUCUCUGCAGUGCCAUCAUAAAAAUGCAGGAGGAGAAAAUGCUGAGAAACACCCCCAUGUCCUGUAUGUCCUCAAGCCAAGAGCUGUAUGUGACUCUCCAUGCAGCAAUUUUGCAGAACUGUGUGGGAAGUGGAGAGCUGGUUUCACCAUGUUUUGUUGGGCAGUGGGGUAGGGACCCAUUGUUUUUACAAUGCUACAUAGUGCUCUGGGGAGGUGAGAGACGAACCAAGCAAUGAGCUUGAACUAUCAAUUUGAACUCAUUGGCUGUCUGGCCUGACUGGAGUUCCCAGAUAUAGUCUUUACUAUGGGCAUUGGGUCAUUUAGAGGAAAGCCUUCUCAUCUUGUACAUACAGCCAGAAUGAUGUUACACUUUCCCAUCCUGUAAUCGGUGUGUUUUGUGUAGACAAGUAGUUGUGGUUAGUUCUCUGUCACAACUUUUAGAGAUGAUUGGGCAUGGGUCUGAGAGGUAUAUCCCAUGGCAAAAUAGGGAAGGGUUAAAUACUCCUCUACCAGGGACUUGGGGGUCUGGGGAAGAACAGAGCUUGCACAGUGUGGGUCUAAAGCUAUUUCCACCAUCCCCAAUGGCAGUGCAUUUAUGUGGAGUGGCAACAGCUAGAGUAGUUCCUUUCCUGCCAUUCCUGGGGGCUCCAAUACUAGACUGGAGAAUUAGAUUCAAUGAUCAACAGGUGGGUUGGCUGAUGUUCUGGUCCAGACCUAUGCAGGCACCAACCCUAUUUUUGCACUUGUAACCAAUAAAAUUGUGGCUAACUUUUUUUCAGCUCCUCAUGCAUAGUAUGGUUUUCCACAGAGUGAACUCACAUGUGUACCUGCAAGCUGCAUAACCACAAAGAUACAAUGAGUUAGAAUGGAUUUUAAACAGAGGAAGAAGCCGCAGAGAGCAGGAAAUUGUUAUGCAAAACUAGUAAGCUGUUGUCAGAAUUUUCCAAAGCAAUCUCACCAGAAGUUCAAGAUAUUAAUGGAGUUUUUGUGUUUCUUAUUACACAUACAAAUAGAUUUUGUACAGCUUUGGAUACCAGAAGCUAUUUUUCAGAGUGAGGGGGAGGAAGUAGUUGCCAUAAAAGAGAGAAAUAGUUUUGCGGAGAGACUAUGUGUUGUUCUAAAUUAAAUUCUGCCUUCUUAUUUUAACAGCUCUACAAUAACAGUGGCAAAAAGGGAUGCUUUCUCCCAUCUUCUUUCUUUUCUUGCUCAGUCUUCCCUUUUGCUUGGUGCAGGAACAAAAAUGUUGGGCUGUCUCAGCUUAAUUUAUAUCAGCUGGUAAUCAAUUCCUUUCCCCUGCCACUAAUGCAGAUAUAAUUAACUUGCAUUGUGUAUAAUUAACUUGCAUAAGGAAAUAAGGAAUCAAUUGACACUUACUAGUAGGUCGGUAUGUUUUAUACUAUAUUCUGACAUCUGUUUUAGUUGCCUCUAGAAAGUGAGGCAUUAUAUUAAAAUAUGCCUGUUAUAGCAAUUUAAGAGACAUUCACAAUGGAGAAGUAAUGCAGUUUGGCACUAUUUUGACUGCUAUGGCUCAAUGCUAUGGAAUUCUGUGGUUUCUAGUUUGCUGAAGCACCACUACUCUUUAGCAGAGAAGCUAAGGACCUUGCAAAAUAACAACUCAUGAUUUUAUAGCAUUGAUUCAUGGCAGUUAAAGUGGUGUCAAACUGCUUUCAUUCUAAAAUGUAGAUCCAUCUCAAGUCUCUCUUGCUGUGUGUUUGAGACCUGUAACUGUAAAGUCAGUUUUAACAUGACCUUCCAAGCUUACAUUCUUGAUGAAAAACUACAUUUUUGGUCUUUUUUUUAACCUAUAAAGUAAGAAUCUUUGAUUAGAGCAUAGUAAUGUCAAAAGGUUUGCAUUGCUUCUGUAACAUCUUUGCUUAACUGUAGCAAGCCAAAAAUAAGAGGUUUAAAAAGACUUCUGCCUUCUUCUGUCUUAGCUUGUUGCAUGCAAUUCAAGUUUAAUUCAUUGUUCUUCCUUAAUAAACCUCAUUAGAGUACCGCAGGCAGUCAAGGAUCACAUAUAAAAGACUGAUGAUCUUAUUUUUUCACCCUGAAACAAAAGGUGAUUAUUUGUAUGUGUAUUCAGCUUGCUUGUCAGUGAAUUCUGUGUGCCGAACUUGUAGAAAAUAUUGAUUUUGAAUUCAAAUUAAAGUUGUCUCAAAACUAA